CCAAAACUCUCCAGAUGUCUUCCAAUAAUGAUCAAGUUUUUAUCCCAAUGUCACGAAGAAACACCACUGACCUCUCCAGGAUGACCUCCAACAACCCGAAGACAUUUACUGAAGUAGCCGUGUUAAGUUUUCAUAACAUUUGCUAUCGAGUAAAAGUGAAGAGUGGCUUUCUUCUUGGUCGAAAAACAGUUGAGAAAGAAAUGCUGACAAAUGUCAAUGGCAUCAUGAGACCUGGCCUCAAUGCCAUUCUGGGACCCACAGGUGGCGGCAAAUCUUCGUUGUUAGAUAUCUUAGCUGCAAGGAAAGAUCCGAAUGGAUUAUCUGGAGAUGUUUUGAUAAAUGGAGCACCUCGACCUGCCAAUUUCAAAUGUAAUUCAGGUUAUGUGGUACAAGAUGAUGUCGUGAUGGGAACUCUGACAGUGAGAGAAAAUUUACAGUUCUCAGCAGCUCUCCGGCUUCCGACAACUAUGACAAAGCAUGAAAAAAAUGAGCAAAUUAACAAGGUCAUUCAGCAGUUAGGUCUGGAUAAAGUGGCAGAUUCCAAGGUUGGAACUCAAUUUAUACGUGGUGGGUCUGGAGGAGAAAGAAAAAGGACUAGUAUUGGAAUGGAGCUUAUUACCGAUCCAGCCAUCUUGUUCCUGGAUGAGCCCACAACUGGCUUAGACUCAAGCACGGCAAAUGCUGUUCUUUUGCUCCUGAAGAGGAUGUCUGAACAGGGACGAACAAUCAUCUUCUCCAUUCAUCAGCCUCGUUAUUCUAUCUUCAAGUUGUUUGAUAGCCUCACCUUGUUGGCCUCAGGAAGACUAAUGUUCCAUGGGCCUGCCCAGGAGGCCUUGGGGUACUUUGCAUCAGUGGGUUACCAUUGUGAGCCUUAUAAUAACCCCGCAGACUUCUUCCUGGAUGUCAUUAGUGGAGACUCCUCUGCUAUGAUAUUAAACAGAGAGGACCAAGACGGUGAAGUCAAGGAGACUGAAGAGCCUUCCAAGAGAAGAUCUCCACUCAUAGAAAAAAUAGCUGAGUUUUAUGGCAACUCUGACUUUUGCAGAAAAACGAAAGAUGAGUUAGAUCGACUUGUAAAGGGUCAUAAGAGGAAGAGCUCAACCUUUAAGGAGAUCACCUAUGCCACCUCCUUCUGUCAUCAACUCAGAUGGAUUUCCAAGCGUUCAUUCAAAAACUUACUGGGCAAUCCCCAGGCCUCUAUAGCUCAGAUAAUUGUAACAGUCAUCCUGGGAUUGGUUAUUGGUGCUAUUUUCUAUGAUCUAAAAAAUGAUCCUACAGGAAUCCAGAAUAGAUCAGGAGUGCUCUUCUUCCUGACAACCAACCAGUGUUUCAGCAGUGUGUCAGCUGUGGAGCUCUUUGUGGUUGAAAAGAAGCUCUUUAUACAUGAAUAUAUCAGUGGAUACUACAGAGUGUCAUCUUAUUUCUUUGGAAAACUGUUAUCUGAUUUAUUACCCACGAGGAUGUUACCAAGUAUUAUAUUUACUUGUAUAAUAUACUUCUUGUUAGGCUUGAAACCAGUUGUGGAGGCCUUCUUCAUCAUGAUGUUUACCCUUAUGAUGGUGGCUUAUUCGGCCAGUUCUAUGGCACUGGCCAUAGCAGCAGGCCAGAGUGUGGUAUCCAUAGCAACACUUCUCAUGACCAUCUCCUUUGUGUUUAUGAUGAUAUUUUCAGGGCUGUUGGUAAAUCUCAGAACUGUUGGGCCUUGGCUCUCCUGGCUUCAGUACUUCAGCAUUCCUCGAUAUGGCUAUGUGGCUUUGCAGCAUAAUGAAUUUUUGGGACAAAACUUCUGCCCAGGAGUCAAUGUAACAGCGAAUAAUACCUGUAGCUAUGCAAUAUGUACUGGCGAAGAAUUUUUGCUAAACCAGGGCAUCGAUCUCUCCCCUUGGGGCCUGUGGAAGAAUCACGUAGCCUUGGCAUGUAUGAUUAUCUUCCUUAUAAUUGCCUACCUAAAAUUGUUAUUUCUUAAAAAAUAUUCUUAAAUUCCUCUUUAAUUUACAUGAUUGAUCCACACAUUAAAAAGGGAGGAUCUUGAUUUUU